rnacentral:tRNA from 1 species
GCCUAGAUGGCUCAUCAGUAGAGUGUCUGCCUUUGGCUCAGGGCAUGAUCAUGGGAUCAAGUCCCAUAUUGGGUU